AGACAAGUCGAGCGAACAGACGAGGAGCUUGCUCCUCUGACGUUAGCGGCGGACGGGUGAGUAACACGUGGAUAACCUACCUAUAAGACUGGGAUAACUUCGGGAAACCGGAGCUAAUACCGGAUAAUAUAUUGAACCGCAUGGUUCAAUAGUGAAAGACGGUUUUGCUGUCACUUAUAGAUGGAUCCGCGCCGCAUUAGCUAGUUGGUAAGGUAACGGCUUACCAAGGCAACGAUGCGUAGCCGACCUGAGAGGGUGAUCGGCCACACUGGAACUGAGACACGGUCCAGACUCCUACGGGAGGCAGCAGUAGGGAAUCUUCCGCAAUGGGCGAAAGCCUGACGGAGCAACGCCGCGUGAGUGAUGAAGGUCUUCGGAUCGUAAAACUCUGUUAUUAGGGAAGAACAAAUGUGUAAGUAACUAUGCACGUCUUGACGGUACCUAAUCAGAAAGCCACGGCUAACUACGUGCCAGCAGCCGCGGUAAUACGUAGGUGGCAAGCGUUAUCCGGAAUUAUUGGGCGUAAAGCGCGCGUAGGCGGUUUUUUAAGUCUGAUGUGAAAGCCCACGGCUCAACCGUGGAGGGUCAUUGGAAACUGGAAAACUUGAGUGCAGAAGAGGAAAGUGGAAUUCCAUGUGUAGCGGUGAAAUGCGCAGAGAUAUGGAGGAACACCAGUGGCGAAGCGACUUUCUGUCUGUAACUGACGCUGAUGUGCGAAAGCGUGGAUCAAACAGAUUAGAUACCUGUAGUCAC
rnacentral:rRNA from 2 species